rnacentral:rRNA from 1 species
UACAUAGGUGUCGAGCGUUAUCCGGAAUUACUGGGCGUAAAGGGUGCGUAGACGGUUUGAUAAGUCUAAGGUUAAAGGCAUGAGCUUAACUCAUGUUUGCCUUGGAAACUAUUGAACUAGAGUGUGAUAGAGGAGUAUGGAAUUUGAUGUGUAGCGGUGGAAUGCGUAGAUAUAUCAAGGAACACCAUUAGCGAAGGCGAUACUCUGGGUCACUACUGACGUUGAGGCACGAAAGCGUGGGUAGCGAAAGGG